AAUUUGAGAUUUGAAAUUUAAAAUUAAAAUUUAAAAUUUAAAAUCUAUAUUUCAAAUUUUAAAAUUUAAAAGUUAAAAUUUAAAAAUUUUAAAAUGAAUCUGAAAAUUAAAAUUUAAAAUUUAAAAUUUAAAAUUUAAAAUUAAAAUUAAAUUUAAAUAUAAAAACUAAAAUAAAAAUAAAAUUUUGAAGUUUAAAUCCAAAAUCAAAAUCAGUUUUGAAGAAGGAGCUUUUUUCUGCUUCUGAUUCUGAGGCCUUCAAAAUUAGUUUUCUGAUUCUAAAAAGCAGAAUCAGAUUUUAAAAGUGAGUUGCCAAACGCUCUAUUGAGUCGAAAAUCACUUUUCAGCCCAAAAGCGCUUUUUAAAAGCUAGGCCAAACACCCCCUAAUAUAGGGUAAAAUGUAUAUUGUAGGGUAAUUUUGGUAUUGAGGGUAUGUUGGACUAAAAAAAUAUAUAGUGAUAUAUAUUUCUCUCUUUUUAGUUAGGAUAAAAACAUAUAAAGAUAUACUACUCUAUUUUCUGAUACUGUCGAUAGAAAUUAUAUAUUAACAAAUUAAUUACAAUAUACGCAACAUAAUAUUAUUCACAAAGACAAAAAAAUAUAUUGCCCUUGCUUUAAUUUGGACCGCAUGUAGUGCAUUCUAUUGUAAUUCCAAACAGAGUCUAAAUCUAAUACGACAGAAAAUAUACUACUCUGUUUUCUGAUACUGUCGAUAGAAAUUAUAUAUUAACAAAUUGAUUACAAUAUACGCAACAUAAUAUUAUUCACAAAAACAAAAAAAAAUAUUGCCCUUGCUUUA
rnacentral:lncRNA from 1 species